AGCACCACGCGUUAAUAUAAGUAAUGAGACGAUGGCGUACUUUCUUAAUUUGACACGAUUAUAUUGAAUCUAUAUACCGCUGUGUACCAAUUUAUAUCUAAACAAGCGCUAAGUGCAGUAUCUAGGUAGUUUUAUAUCAACGGUCGAACCGGAAAAACCAUUGCUCAGAGCAUUUUAAUCAAAAAUAAGAAACGUGUGAAAAUAUUAAUUAACAUUGGUCCUUAAUGAAUUGGUUACUGAAGGCUGACAAAGUAUAAAACCUGGCGCCAAUAAAGAAACUGCCACAGUACUGGGUAACUUGUUGAGAAAAAUGCUUAUCCCUAUAGCAUUUGCAGCCCUUAUUGGGGUAAGUUUUGGAAGUAUCUCUCAGCCUCCAAAACCAUGUGGUUGUCCGGUGGAAUAUAACCCAGUAUGCGGCUCGAACCAGAAAACAUACAUAAAUAGAUGUAUCAUGAGUUGUGACUAUACCGCGCCUCACUUUCUAUAUUACGGAAAAUGCACGGGCUAUUCGCCACCCUACCAAUAUACUACUACCACCCCAGAUCCGCCACCCUACCCAUAUCCUACUACCAGCCCAUAUCCGCCACCCUACCCAUAUCCUACUACCAGCCCAUAUCCGCCACCCUACCCAUAUCCUACUACCAGUCCAUAUCCGCCACCCUACCCAUAUCCUACUACCAGCCCAAAUCCGCCACCCUACCCAUAUCCUACUACCAGCCCAUAUCCGCCACCCUACCCAUAUCCUACUACCAGCCCAUAUCCGCCACCCUACCCAUAUCCUACGACCAGCCCAAAUCCACCACCCUACCCAUAUCCUACUGCAAAACCUCCAUUCUAUCCAUCAUUAACAGGUUCUGCCGCGGGGAAGGAACAUAACUGAAUCACCAACGAAUAACGUGACGUAAAUAAAAUAUGGAAAUAAUAUCAAAAUUUUAAUAAAAUUUACAUGAUUAUUUUUUCGUCA